rnacentral:rRNA from 1 species
GACGGAGGGGGCUAGCGUUGUUCGGAAUGACUGGGCGUAAAGGGCGCGUAGGCGGCUAUUUAAGUGAGGCGUGAAAGCCCUGGGCUUAACCCAGGAGGUGCGUUUCAUACUGGAUGGCUUGAGUACGAGAGAGGAAAGCGGAAUUCCUAGUGUAGAGGUGAAAUUCGUAGAUAUUAGGAAGAACACCAGAGGCGAAGGCGGCUCUCUGGCUCGUAACUGACGCUGAGGCGCGAAAGCGUGGGGAGCAAACAGG